GAAGAGUCUGAGGAAAACAAAAGAAAAAAACACUGUGAAAGGAGGGAGAAAUUACUGACAGCCCUGAUCCAAGGCUGUCCAAUAUGCUCCUGAGCCAGCUGGGAGCGAAUGGGCUGCUGGGAGACAAGAACUGGUCAAAUACGAUCUUCUGCCCAAGAAAGAGAGAUUUCUGGACAGGUCACCCCUUAAAUACAGGGCUGAAAGGAGCUUCUGGUUCUUUUCCACAACCUCUUCUCUGAAGAGUUAUAUGAGCAAACAACUGCCUCAUUAAUUUUAAACAGGCAUGGCCCCGUAACCAUUCAUCUCUGAAGGCUGCAAUUAACCUUCAGCCAGUGCGAGCUCAUUUUGGCGUUUGAUUCUUUGAUUCCUGUGGAGUUUCCCAACUAUUCAGGAGGGUGCUGGGAUCUUCACAGAGCCUGGUCAUGCUGUGCAGAUAUCUUCCUUCUCCCUGACCUCCCUCCAGCAGCCUAGAGCAUCCACACAGCAGGCGCCAGCCAGUGUUUUCCCGAGUUCUGAAUACAACUGACCAUAGACAGUAACCCAACCUUACCAUUUCCCCCUCUACUUCCCAGACCUUCAACUGUAAGUAGUUUUCUUUGCGGUCUUUGCCACCAAUGAGGGAAUCCAGCCCUCCAGGCAUCUUUGAAAUUUUUCCCAUGACAUACAAAAGGAAGUAGCAGAUGAUUUAUUAAGAUCUAGUAAACCAUUAAUUCACUCAUUCAGGACCCAACUAAUAUGUUUUGCUACAUCUUUUAUUGAGCCACUUCUGCUCUAUUGAUGGGAUGAUUACCUGUUUCUAAAAGUAACUGCAAAUUACCCAACCACCUGAUAUUUUCCUGAAGAAAGACAAACGAUAAAUCGAUCAAUGGAAGAAAAGUAUUUUUAGGGUGAAUGACACAUGACUCUAUUUAUGCAGGAUACAUCUGAAAGGCAACAAUCUGAAUGGGAAAUACUGGACCAGAAUCUCUGGUCUUGUAUGGAGACGUGGCUCUACUCACUGCACUGUCUUAGCAAAUUUGUCUUGCUCCAUCCUGAUGUUGCACUUGGGGCCACUGCUGUUACCUAAGCAUGUCAAUAAAAAAGUUUCCAUAAUAGUGAUAACAACAGUAGCCAGUCAUUAAAAUUCUGAAAUAAUUCAUACAGAUAAUUUUUAUGAGCCA